rnacentral:rRNA from 1 species
GUCGUAGGUGGCGAACGUUAUCCGGAAUCAUUGGGCGUAAAGGGUGCGUAGAUGGCCUGAUAAGUUAGCAGUGGGAAAUCGAGGCUCAACCUCGUGGAAGCUGGUAAUACUGUUAGGCUAGAGUGCAGGAGAGGUUAACGGAACUCCAUGUGGAGCGGUAAAAUGUGUAGAUAUAUGGAAGAACAUCAAUAACGGCGAAGGCAGUUAACUAUUCUGUUACUGACGUUGAGGCACGAAAGCGUGGGGAGCAAAACGG